AUUGAACGCUGGCGGCAUGCCUUACACAUGCAAGUCGAACGGCAGCACGGGAGCAAUCCUGGUGGCGAGUGGCGAACGGGUGAGUAAAGUAUCGGAACGUGCCCAGUCGUGGGGGAUAACGUAGCGAAAGUUACGCUAAUACCGCAUACGAUCUAUGGAUGAAAGCGGGGGAUCGCAAGACCCCGCGCGAUUGGAGCGGCCGAUAUCAGAUUAGGUAGUUGGUGGGGUAAAGGCUCAACAAGCCGACGAUCUGUAGCUGGUCUGAGAGGACGACCAGCCACACUGGGACUGAGACACGGCCCAGACUCCUACGGGAGGCAGCAGUGGGGAAUUUUGGACAAUGGGCGAAAGCCUGAUCCAGCCAUGCCGCGUGCAGGAUGAAGGCCUUCGGGUUGUAAACUGCUUUUGUACGGAACGAAAAGGUUUGGCCUAAUAAGCUGAGCUCAUGACGGUACCGUAAGAAUAAGCACCGGCUAACUACGUGCCAGCAGCCGCCGUAA
rnacentral:rRNA from 1 species